rnacentral:pre_miRNA from 1 species
AAUAAGUGCAGCCGUGGAUAUCCGUGCCCAACGUUUGACCGUCUGUCUUAUUUGAAAAAUUUGUGAAAAAUUUGAAAAUAUUUAGUCACACAUAAAAUACUAUUAUGUUUUAUCAUCUAAUAACAACAAAAAUACUAAUCAUAAAAAAUUUUUAAAUAAGACGAACGGUCAAACGUUCAACGUGAAUAGUGCAAAACUGCACUUAUU